rnacentral:rRNA from 1 species
ACGAACGCUGGCGGCGUGCCUAAUACAUGCAAGUCGAACGCUUCUUUCCUCCCGAGUGCUUGCACUCAAUUGGAAAGAGGAGUGGCGGACGGGUGAGUAACACGUGGGUAACCUACCCAUCAGAGGGGGAUAACACUUGGAAACAGGUGCUAAUACCGCAUAACAGUUUAUGCCGCAUGGCAUAAGAGUGAAAGGCGCUUUCGGGUGUCGCUGAUGGAUGGACCCGCGGUGCAUUAGCUAGUUGGUGAGGUAACGGCUCACCAAGGCCACGAUGCAUAGCCGACCUGAGAGGGUGAUCGGCCACACUGGGACUGAGACACGGCCCAGACUCCUACGGGAGGCAGCAGUAGGGAAUCUUCGGCAAUGGACGAAAGUCUGACCGAGCAACGCCGCGUGAGUGAAGAAGGUUUUCGGAUCGUAAAACUCUGUUGUUAGAGAAGAACAAGGACGUUAGUAACUGAACGUCCCCUGACGGUAUCUAACCAGAAAGCCACGGCUAACUACGUGCCAGCAGCCGCGGUAAUACGUAGGUGGCAAGCGUUGUCCGGAUUUAUUGGGCGUAAAGCGAGCGCAGGCGGUUUCUUAAGUCUGAUGUGAAAGCCCCCGGCUCAACCGGGGAGGGUCAUUGGAAACUGGGAGACUUGAGUGCAGAAGAGGAGAGUGGAAUUCCAUGUGUAGCGGUGAAAUGCGUAGAUAUAUGGAGGAACACCAGUGGCGAA